ACGGGGAGCACCACAACAGGUGGAGCCUGCGGUUAAUCGGACUCAACGCCGGGAAACUCACCAGAUAAGACAGCUGAAUGAUAGUCGGGCUGAAGACUCUACUUGACUAGCUGAGAGGAGGUGCAUGGCCGUCGUCAGUUCGUACUGUGAAGCAUCCUGUUAAGUCAGGCAACGAGCGAGACCCACGCCAACAGUUGCCAGCUCGUCCUCCGGGAUGGAGGGGACACUGUUGGGACCGCUCUGCUAAAGAGGAGGAAGGAAUGGGCAACGGUAGGUCAGCAUGCCCCGAAUUAUCUGGGCUACACGCGGGCUACAAUGGGUGGGACAAUGGGUAUCGACACCGAAAGGUGAAGGCAAUCUCCUAAACCCAUCCUUAGUUCGGAUUGUGGGCUGCAACUCGCCCACAUGAAGCUGGAAUCUGUAGUAAUCGUGUUUCAAAAUAGCACGGUGAAUAUGUCCCUGCUCCUU
rnacentral:rRNA from 1 species